GGAGCGGAGAAGCGGGAUGGGGUCGGGGAACCCUGGCUGAUUGGACCAAAGCCUGGGAAGACGCAUUAGCAUUGGCUGGAUCGUUGUGCAAUGCCGCGUUCAAGUUCCUGACAAUCAGCAGAGGCCCAUCCAGAUCCUAUUUCUCAGGCUCCCUGAACAUCUUCCCAAAGGAAACAAUAUGAUGGGAAUCACCUGGCCUGGCUCGCAGUGUGGCUUUAGGGAAACCCACUUCCCUCUAGAUCUAGAUUCGACAAUGACUAAGGCUCUGAGAUCAUACUCUGGCUGUCUGGGAGAAAACAUCAUCUGAAGAUUGCUUUUGCUCAGCUCAUAUAUUAAGGACAAGGAAGAAGAAGAAGCAGAGAUAGGAGAGAGAUUUGGAAUCCUUUACACAAAAGCCCAGCCACAGCCCAGCCUCUUCCAGGGAUGCUUCCAGAUGCCUCCAGCCUCCACCAAUCUUCUCUGCCUCCCCACACCCUCAGCCUGUCAUACCUAGUUUGGCCCUGGGUGCAGCCAGACAAUUAAUGGUUGAGUUACUGAGCAACUACCAAGAAACCAAGCAGUGGAUAAAGGAGAUGCCACCCAUGCCUCUAGCAAGAAAGGAUGAUGGUGAAUUUAAUUAAAGUCUGAGGCUAUUUUGAAAACUCACCUGCUCUAACACUUUGCUAUUCUGUACAUAAAAACUAUAUAUUCUUAGCCACAAAUCUGUAACCUGCUCCUGGAUAAGCCACUGCCUUCCGGACCUCCCUAUCAGGAAUCUUGAGAUUAAGACUGCUAAUUCCCUGGUUACUUACAUAGGCUCAGAUUGCUUUUGCUAGUACCUGCUAGACUUCUGAAAGUUAUGAAGCUUCUGCUCUGAACUCUGCUGUAAUCAAAUACUAAGAUGUCAGUGUCUCCUUCAUCUCUUGUUUCUCCAUAAUCUCUCCCUGGGUUACACCAUCCAGGCCCAGGGUGCCCAUGCCCAUUUUGAUACUGAGAAUGCCUGCACCAUUACCUCUGGUAGUGAUCUAUGUGGACUCCAGGCUCACACUAAUAUUAAUAGUACCACUGGAGCUAGAGGACCACUCAUUUGAGCCUGGGCAAUGUCCCAGGUCAAAUUUUGUCCUUAGGCUUACUACUCAGAGGGAGAUGUAAAAAAAACAAAGAUCCCCGAGCCUGCCCUAGAAAAUUCUAAAACCCCAAACCAGGACCCCUGCCUACCACGUGUUCCUGCAUGACUUAGUCAUUCUUUACUUGGAGGUCAGUGAAGGUUCACGCAUAUGGACUGUAUCUCAUACAUUCAAUGACAACCGAGUGAAUUAUGGGAAAGGACAUGUGUGAUAGAUACAGCUAAUCUUGUCAAUCAUGUUGUCAAUCAUGCUAUGGAAGACCCAAUAGGAGGAGUCCUAGACCCACCCCAACAUUUUAAAUUCUUAAACCCAAAAUCUUCAAGUGCUCAAGUUGUGCCAUUUUCCUUUAUGCUAGUUCAAGCCUGCUUGCUGAGUGUAUUGUCACCUGAUUAAAACUUUGCUACUUUUCCUUUACCAUUGUGUGCCAUGUCUGGUUCUCUGCUCAUCACGAGAACCCAGGAACCCAUCC